rnacentral:snRNA from 1 species
GUAUUCCGUGGAACGUGAUGUUUAACAUUCCUCUUGAUAGGGGCCUAAGGCACACAUACAGGUAAACCAUCCCCGCCCACUUCGUAGCAUCUUCUGCUUUUU